UUUUGUGCGCAGGGGAGAUGACACUGUUUUUAUAUAUCCCAUCUGUUCUCUUCUCUCGGUUUGAGAUGUAUGAGGGCAGUGUCUUCUCUCUGCGCAUGAAA
rnacentral:pre_miRNA from 1 species